rnacentral:rRNA from 1 species
GACGAACGCUGGCGGCGUGCUUAACACAUGCAAGUCGAACGGAAAGGCCCUGCUUUUUUGGGGUGCUCGAGUGGCGAACGGGUGAGUAACACGUGAGUAACCUGCCCUUGACUUUGGGAUAACUUCAGGAAACUGGGGCUAAUACCGGAUAGGAGCUCCUGCUGCAUGGUGGGGGUUGGAAAGUUUCGGCGGUUGGGGAUGGACGCGCGGCUUAUCAGCUUGUUGGUGGGGUGGUGGCUUACCAAGGCUUGGACGGGUAGCCGGCCUGAGAGGGUGACCGGCCACACUGGAACUGAGACGCGGGCCCGGGUACUACGGGAGGCAGCAGUGGGGGAGAUUGGACAAUGGGCGCAAGCCUGAUCCAGCCAUGCCGCGUGGGGGAAGAAGGCCUUCGGGUUGUAAAGCCCUUUGGUUGGGGAAGAAAAGCAGGAGGUUAAUACCCCGCUGUCCUGACGGUACCGAAAGAAUAAGCACCGGCUAACUUCGUG